CCAAAUAUGCCUGCCUCAUUUGUGAGAACGUGGCCAAGCCAAUGAGAAAGAAGGUGCAGAUCUGAAACCUCCUGGAGUUGGACAAGCCAGAAAUAGGGUGAUAAGUACUACAGACCCUCAUACAAGCUGUUCAGAUGCCUCUCCUUCCUCUAUGGCUACAUGGGCUGCCUGGAGUGUGUUCCAGCUCUCCACAAUACCCACAGGAAUGCCACUGGCUCUGGAAGAGGAAAGGGAUUGAUGGUGGUAACUGAAUCCAUUUUGAUGGUGACCUACGCCAGGCUGAUGUCAUUCAUUGGAAACUGCAGCAAACUUGGCUAUUCUUUUACCAAUGGGGUAUUGGUUUUUUGAGACUGUCUUUGGUGUAUAAGUACCUCAUCCAAAAAAAAUAUGUCAUUAUUGAAGAUUCCAUUUCAGUCCACUAUAUUUUUGGACAUUUUCACCAAAAAAAUUAAUUACUCCUAAAUAGCAUUACAUGAUUUUGAAUAUUUAGUGUCUGAGGAACUCUGAAAGCUUUAUUGGACUGAUAGAUAUGCCUUUCAGACCUCAUAUCAGAAUGAUCGAAUUUCCUUAAAACUGAAAAGUAAAUACUGCUGAGUCCAUUGAACAAUGUAAUCAAGUGAGGACUGAUAUGGCUUCAUGUAUAUUUAACCCCAGGUGGCAGUAUCCUCUCCUCCUACUAUCCUUUUCCCUCUUGGUCACGAGCCUUGGCUCAGAAUGACCUUUAGCUCUUCCUCAAGACUCCUCUCAAGGGGCCAGGAUCCACCUUGGAUCUGAGGGUUAUACCUAAGUAGAGGAGUUCCAAAAAUAUUUCACAAUGGUGGCAUUAAUCAAAUCAAUAUAUACCUUCUCCGGUGACUAAUUCUUUUUACCUCUUUUUAUACUGGAACGGUCUGUUUAAAGAUUAGCGGCCACACCUCUCUACACUGACACUUUCCGCAGAAAUAGAAUCCGUUGGUGUACGAUACAUUUCCUCUUUUAUGGUUGCGCAAUGACUUCAAACAGCUAGGAGUGAUUGUAAAUGCAUUGACCAAGAUGAAAUGCCUUACUUCCUUUCUCUGAUGGUUUAUUGCCCCUCACAGAGUUAGGCAUUCUUUUAGCAGUUUGACUCUAUUUCUGAUACAUUUGUCAAAUUAUAAUUGCUUAUGUACCCCCACUAGACCUUGAGGCUGGACUUAGCAUGUUUUUUCCUAUUAUGCAUCUGUUACACAGUCCUGCCCUGGUGCCUGGCGUAUGGUGGAUACUCGAUGUUUUUAAACUGAGUGAAUUUGUCUUGAGUGUUCCUUGAUUUUUGCAGCAGACAGAUACUGGCAGCAGGUGAUCAAAACCAAUUAAGCUUCUAUCUGUACUAGAUUAAGCAUUUCAUCAAUUUCCUAGAAAAAUAUGUGUAAAAUACUUGAUAAAUGACAAUGUUCAUGUAAUUGAUAUUUAAAGAGGAAAGAUGGGGGUGCUGGAGAUAGGGAGACCACUUGGGGAAGAUUUCUGAGUUAGGAGUGUUGUGAGUUAUUUUUUUUUUCAUUCUCUUACAAUCUUAACAGUUUUUCUUACAUUCUUUCCUUUUGAGCUGUGACAUAACCUGAUUAUUAGAGUUGUUUUUUUGCCCCUCCCUAGUUGCUAUAGCUAGUGAAUCAUAGAAACCAGAGAAGGGAAAGACGGGUGAAAUCAUCUGGUUCAUCUCCAAAUUAGGGAGUGGAGCAUUGGGAUUUGGAGAAGACUAACCUCUUGUUUGAAAAAAGAAAAGAAAAAAAAACUUCAACUAGAGCUGAUGAGAGCAGCUCUCCCGUCUGUUCACCUUUUGCUUCUCCCACAAUCCUGAGAUCCAUCCUCUUAGAAGGCAAUCAGGGAUUCUUAUCAAGGGCCCCAGGAGCACCAGAUGCCAAAGUAUUAAGGAGUUGAACAAAAAUUCUACUGCCUGAAUAAUAAAGUUGGAUUAUGAAUCCUUCAGUGAUUGUUUUAAUGGAGUCUUACAGAAUUUGAAACUCUGUUUCAGCAAGGCCUUACGAAUUUAAGAGCUGGCAAAGAACUUACAGAGGAUCUGGGCUAAAAUGUCCAGCUCCCAGCUGCAGAAACUAACAAGGGGUUGUUAAGAAAUUAUAGCAAUGCCUAAGUCAAGAGUACAGACCUCUCAGUGCGUGUCUCUCUGUGUCACAGUCGCACAGUGUCCUCCCUCACAAUGCUCCCCUCCACUGUUGUCUUCUUCCUCUUCCCCUCUUCUUCCUUCUUGUUCUUGUUCUCUUUUGCAGUGUUGUUUGAAGAAACGGCAGAGAUGACUUAGCAUCAGUGUCUGCUCUACGUGUCAGCCAAGCCUCAUCCACUUGUCCUUGGGCCACAGAGGCAAGUGGAUGCCACUUCAGCCACAUCUGCAACCUGUCUACCACAGUCCUUGCUUCCCUCCUACUUGCCUCUGUGUCGUUCCAGCUGCAGAACCUCGACUUCAUCUCCUAUUCAGACUCUGCUCUUGACCUUUGAAUUUUUUCACGAAUCACAGUGUCCUUGGCUCCUCCCUUGGUACCUCGCUUAGUUCUCCCCCAACUUCUGAUGUCUUCCUAUGGUAUCCCUGCACCAGCUCUGACCUCCUACAUUACAAAACCUUCCCCAUACUGCUUGCCCUUUGCCAAUGGCCCCUUACAGAGUGGGGAGGAAUAUUUGUACCCUAUCAAUAGUCAUAGCAUCUGCAUACGUGUGUCCCCAGUGUAAAUCCCCAUAUCUAGUUACCCAAGUAUGUUAUCACAGGCUCACAUUAUGGAAAUCUAAAUUCUUUUGUGAUAUUAGAGAUAUUCAACAGUUGCCUGUUAUUUUUAUUUUGAUAAUAUUCUACAUGGCCUCAUCUCACUUUAAAGUGAUCUUUCUCAAUCGCAGCUAUACAUUUGAAUAACUUAGGAACCAAAAACAUGCUGGGAUCCCAUGAUUCAAAGAGUCUGAAUUAAAGCCACAAUUUUGUAUGGGUAUAUUCAAUUACACAAGGGAUACUCUUUCCAAUUUGGACAAAAAUGGAAUGCAGAGAAAGAAAGUCAAUCGUAUUUGAUAAAAACGAUUUAUUGAUCUAAUAGUCAGAGAGAGAAAGUUGUUAUUCAAAGUACUUCCAUUUAGGAAUCCUAUUGGGCCUGUUUUAAUGAAUAGAUAAAACUAGUUUAUGUUUAGUAACAUCCAUGUGCAUAUAUAUAAUUAAUGUGCCUAAAUCUAUGAAGUUUUCAUAUUAAGGAUUGAGCUUUAGAGCUAAAAGAGAACUUGAAGAUUUUCUCAUUUUGCACAUAAGAAUCAGAAUCAGAGAGCCUAAGGGAUUUGUCCAAGUACACCCAAUUAGGAUAGGAGUUAGGACCAGCCCCUCUGCCUCCUGACAUCUGUGAUGAUUGGCACAGGACCCAGAAAUACAGUGCAAUCCAACAAAGUCAGGGCUGUAAAGAUGCAGAGGCUGUGAUGGGUUCACACUGGGCAAGGUGCUGGAGUUGCAAAGAUGAACAGGAGCUCCCAGCCUGAUGGGGAAGCCUGAGACAUCGACAGUCCUCGUACCAUGAGAUAAAGAUACAGGGUUAAUGAAUAAAGAGGUCUACUCUACCCUUCCCAUAAACCACAUGCCACAAGUUAUCUUAUUUAUUAUAUUAAUUUGCUUAGCAAACCCUUUUUUUUCAUACGCUGUAUGAAAUAUGUAACCUUUGGCCCUGCCUACGUUGUAUUAUCAUAGAUUCUGAUUAGAGGAAUCAAAAUCAAACGAGAUUUUACAAUAUUGGGUGUUUUCUUUGUCAGCAGAGGGUGCUACGCUAUCCAGCUUUUCCUCUAUAGGUUUUUAAAAUUGUCUUUUCUUUAAUAAACUAUAUGAAAAAUACCAUCAGGAAGAUAAAAGUUUUCCCCAAAGCCUGGCACAGGCUGUCAUAAUCUUAAUGUGUAAGAAGGAAGCCCUUUUUUCACUAGCUGUGUAUCUUUUUGCUUUUUUCAACUAUUUUUAAAAUUAUAGAAGUAAUAUGUGUUCACUGUUAAGAAAAUCAACUAAUAUAAAAAUUGCAUAUAAUAAAAUGGGAACAUUCUCCUUUACACAUAUACAUCAAUCUUUGUCUUUCCCCAUAGGUAACUAAUAUCAGUUUGGGGUAUAUCCUUACAUAUGUGUGUCAAAUAUAUGCACACACCCACACACAUAUGUAAAUGUGCAUACAUGUAAAUAUUAACAUAAGUAGAAUCAAAUUAGUCAUAUUAUUCUAAUUGACUUUUUUUCGCUCAGACAACAUAAGGUCUUCAAAGUUUAAAAAAUAUUCGAAACACUCAAAAUGUAUGUAGUGGACAAUUAAUAAAGAUGAAAACUUUCAAAGUG